rnacentral:rRNA from 2 species
ACCUGACUGCUAUCGGAUUGAUACUAAGCCAUGCGAGUCAUUGUAGCAAUACAAGGCAGACGGCUCAGUAACACGUAGUCAAUCUAACCUAUGGACGGGGAUAACCUCGGGAAACUGAGAAUAAUACCCGAUAGGCCACCAUGCCUGGAAUGGUUUGUGGCCCAAAUGAUUUAUCGCCGUAGGAUGGGACUGCGGUCUAUCAGCUUGUUGGUGAGGUAAUGGCCCACCAAGGCUAUAACAGAUACGGGCUCUGAGAGGAGAGGCCCGGAGAUGGGUACUGAGACACGGACCCAGGCCCUAUGGGGCGCAGCAGGCGAGAAAACUUUGCAAUGUGCGAAAGCACGACAAGGUUAAUCCGAGUGUUUUCUGCUAAAGAAAUCUUUUACCGGUCUUAAAACCACCGGCGAAUAAGGGGUGGGCAAGUUCUGGUGUCAGCCGCCGCGGUAAAACCAGCACCUCAAGUGGUCAGGAGGAUUAUUGGACCUAAAGCAUCCGUAGCCUGCCGUGUAAGUUUUCGGUUAAAUCUAUGCGCUCAACGCAUAGGCUGCCGGAAAUACUGCACGGCUAGGGAGUGGGAGAGGUAGACGGUACUCGGUAGGAAGGGGUAAAAUCCUCUGAUCUAUCGAUGACCCCCUGUGGCGAAGGCGGUCUACUAGAACACGUCCGACGGUGAGGGAUGAAAGCUGGGGGAGCAAACCGGAUUAGAUACCCGGGUAGUCCCAGCUGUAAACAAUGCAAACUCAGUGAUGCAUUGGCGUAAGAGCCAGUGCAGUGCCGCAGGGAAGCCGUUAAGUUUGCCGCCUGGGAAGUACGUACGCAAGUAUGAAACUUAAAGGAAUUGGCGGGGGAGCACCACAAGGGGUGAAGCCUGCGGUUC